rnacentral:misc_RNA from 1 species
GCGGUCGUGCCAGUCGCAUACCUUUCGUCUUACGAUGCGGUGUCUCUCCGCUAGCCGCUUUGCAGAUUGUACGGAUAAAUUUUGACCGAGUAUAAGUACAGGCUUUGGUUAAGGAUUGACAAGGCAUUGCUACAUGAUACAAUGAGUUAGCGAUAUAUUUUAAGUGAAAAAUGUCAUCGACGUCGAACGAUGCGCCGGUUCGAUGAAGAACGGACGUUUUAUUGAGUGUGCUGUAUGUGUCGUGAAGGUGUCGUGCAUGUGGUGACCUAUCCGUUAUUCUUGCGGAUAGCCAGAAAAUUUUUGCCGUCGGGAAAGUUGGAUUUCAGCCUAUGAGGUCAGGAUGCUGACAAUUCUGCUCGUGCUCGUCGCCACGAGUUCCUCCGUUCGAGGACAAGUGGUGAACAGAGCACCGCACUUUAUACCUGGUGGAGAUAUGGCUCGUCUGGCCGUCUCCGAGAGCACUUCACCUGGAGCGCCAGUCUACACUCUCCAGGGUGAGGACCCCGAGGAUUCCCGAGUGCACUAUUCCAUCAGUGGAGAGUACUUCACGGUGGAUAGAGAAACUGGCGUUGUAAUCCUUAGGAAGGCGUUGGAUAGAGAGACCCAGGAUCUGAUAGAAGUCAUCAUUAGCAUAACUGAUGAGGGUAUUGCGGGUUCUGAACCUAAUACAGUAUCUCUUCGUCGAGAGAUAGCCGUUCUCGACGAAAAUGAUAAUCCACCGGUUUACCAUGGUCGUCCGUAUGCUGCCAGGGUUCCCGAGAGUGCAAAAGUAGGCAGUGUGCUACUUCCUUCGGGCACCAUAACUGUCACUGACGAAGACGGAGGCGUCAAUGCUGACGUUGUUGUACGGUGUGCAGCAUCGUCCCGAGAUGACGACGUUUGCGAAGUCUUCCAUGUCAAUACGGAAAAGUUAGCGGAAGGUCGUUAUGAGGUUCGUAUAACGUUGGCGAGUCCCUUGGAUUACGAAAGAAGGAAUUCCUAUCUCAUCAAUCUUGUCGCCGUUGAUGGAGCCAGUGAUCCAGCGAAAAGACUACAUGCCAGAGCUACUGUUGCUGUCGAUGUUUUAGAUGUUCAGGAUCAGCCGCCAACAUUCUUGAACGCUCCAUACAGUGCAGCUCUUCCUGAAAAUACCCCAGCAGGACACACUGUUCUGACAGUUAGAGCACGGGAUGGUGACACCGGAGAACCGAGGCCUUUGCUGCUCAGCCUCGAGGAUGACGAUACAGGGCAUUUCGAACUCGCGGUCACGCGAGAAGGAGACAUCAGUGUCGGAAAGUUGAUGACCACCAGUGCCUUUCUAGACCGUGAAGAUACGAACAUUUUGCAAAACGGGGGAAUUUAUACGUUCACAGUGAAAGCUACUGAACUGAUAAAUAACGAGAUUCCAGCCGAUACAGCUACCUCAGUUAUUACCAUCGUUGUCACAGAUGUCGACGACCUUGCGCCGGUCUUUAACAGCGAUUCAUUUUCCAUAAAAAUUUCAGAGGAUAUCGGUAUGGAUACACCGUUACCAGGUUUAAAUAUGGUAGUCAGCGAUGGUGACGUUGGUGACAAUGCAAAGUUCUCCUUGGCUUUAAGGGAUGCACCUGGAUAUCCAAAUAUCAGCCAAGCGUUUUCAGUCAGUCCUCAACAGGCUCAGGGAAGAGUACCUGUCGUUGUGAGAGCGAAUAAUAAAUCGGUCUUGGACUACGAUGUUGAAGAUGAAACAAAAAGAACAUUAGAGUUCGACGUCACGGCUUCUGUAGCUGGUAAAGUGGUUGCAUCGUCCAGAGUACACAUUAAGCUUUUAGACGCGAAUGACCACAGUCCAGAGUUUUCGCAAUCAGUCUACAAGCUCGCAGUACCUGAGGAUGCAGUCCCAGGUACUCAUUUCGGUGAAGUAUUUGCAGUAGACAAAGAUAGUGGAGAGUUCGGAGAACUAACUUACAAUCUUCGUGGUUUUGGUACUGACAAAUUCGGAACCGACCCAAAGAGAGGUGGGCUUUCUGUUGCGAAGGCACUCGACUACGAGGUUCAAAAGUCUUACUCAUUAACAAUGGAAGCCAGGGAUGGCGGAGGCAGAGUUUCAACUGUCAACAUUCUGAUCGAAGUCCAAGAUGUGAACGACAACGAGCCCAUCUUUGAACAGAAAGAAUACUCGAGAACUGUCCGCGAAGAAGCAUUGAGUUUUGAACCACAGUUAUUCGUCAGAGCUACGGAUGUUGAUGGUCCAACUCAGGGGGAUGGAAAAGUGACGUACUCGAUCGGUCAUCAUAAUAGUAUGACGGAAAAUGUUUUUAAGGUUGAUCCAGAAACAGGUGAAGUCGGGAUGCAAAAGCCAGCACGAUCUGGCGAUACAGAACGCGGUCUCUACGAACUCAGCAUCAGAGCAACUGACAAAGGAAAGCCACCUCUGUACUCUGAAACCAAGCUCUUCGUCCGCGUUGGUGUUCCUGGUAAUCAGAAACCCAUAUUUCGGGGUAACUAUAAAGCUGGAGCACCGGGACCCAACACUUAUCGGGCACGUCUACUGGAAAACGCUACACCUGGGACAGAAGUUGUUAAAGUGACAGCGAACGAUCCUGAUGGAAGAGAUAGCUUACUGCAGUAUUACAUUGCCAGUGGGGCGAAGGAUAACUUCGUAAUCAACCAGAGUUCCGGUAUUAUAACGGUUUCACCGGACGCAAGACUGGAUAUGGAAUCCGGUGGAGACAAGUACAAUGUGAUCGUGUAUGCAGUUGAUUCUGGAACACCGGUUAGAGAGACGGCUACUACAACGGUAGCUGUGAACAUUAUCGAUGUUAAUAACAAGCCACCUGUUUUCAAUAACUCGACGUAUUUAAUGUACGUAUCGGAGAGAGCCGCCAUUGGUGAUUCCGUUCUCAGGGUUACCGCAACUGAUCCAGAUUCUGAUGCGAACAUUGAGUAUACUUUGAUCGAGCCGAUCAGAGCCGUUGACAAGACAGGAGUUGCUUUGAAAAGUACAACUCCGUACGAUUACAAAACAGCAUUUAAAAUAAACUCUACCACUGGUUUAAUAACAGUUAAUCAGGUUUUGGAUUACCAAGUCGCGGCGGUAAUUAUUCUCACGGUUCAGGCCAGAGACCUCAACGCUGUUGUUGACCAGGAGAAACAGGUCACCGAAGUUGAAGUCACGAUUUACGUUCAAGCCUACAGUGACGAUAAUCCGAUUUUCACGAAUCCUGGAUGGUCAGCGAAUAAUCCAGUAAUUCGCGUGUCAGUUCCUGAAGAGCAACCAGUUGGAACGACUCUGCUGAUGCUGUCUGCCAGGGAACCAGCGACUGGUCGACCGGUUGAAACGUUCGAAUUGAUUCGUGAUGACGAUGACGAAGGUUACGUUAACGUUGGGGUUCAAAGCGGGAACGUAGUCUUGAGCAAAAGGCUGGAUUAUGAAAAUCUAGGCGACAAGAUUCUUCGCUUCAAAGUUCGAGCCUUGGCCAGAGAUUACGAAAUAAGUCGAAGCAUGUCGGAAGCUAAGGUGAUCGUGUCAGUGCUAGACAUAAAUGACAACAGCCCGAUUUUCAACCAAAAAGACUAUAAAAUUUCCGUACUCGAAUCGUCCGCAGCAUCUAAAAUUAUCCUGAAUGUCAAGGCUACGGAUAUGGACAGCUCGAAUACGGAACAGGAAGUGAAGAGAGGGUUUGGCGAAGUCAGAUACGCUUUGACCGGUGAAAAUGCAAAUUUGUUUGAAAUCGAUCCAAUCAGUGGAAACAUUCUCAUCGCAGCUAACACAACACUUGACCGAGAGAGACAAUCCGUUCUGCGAUUCUAUGUUAUCGCUACAGAUAUGCCUCAGGGUGGCGCGGAGCAGAAAACUAGUCGAGCAUUAGUCACCGUUGAUAUUUUAGAUGUGAAUGACAACGCCCCGAGCUUUCCUCAGGAGUCUUACACAGCUGUGGUACCAGAAAAUGCGCCAGCAGGCAUCAGCGUUGUAAAUAUUACUGCGGUUGAUCCUGACGAGGGUAAAGGAGGAACGAUUCACUUUGAGAUUAUCGACGAAGGAGAAGCUAAUGGUCUCUUCAAGAUAAAUCACUCUACCGGCGAAAUCUCUUCUGCUGGGCAACUGACUGGCAAAGGAAGAACGGAACCUUACAACAUGCGAGUCAGGGCUCAGGAUGGAGGAGAUCCUGUCCUUUUUACGGACGUUGCGUUGGUUCUUUACAUUGGUGACGUUGUCAGCAAUGACGGUGUUCCCCUUAUCAUCAGGCCAACUCUGGACGAGGUGGCUCAUAUCGCGGAGAACUCGACUACCGGAAGUCCGGUCUUUCAAGUCGUUGCUUCGGAUCCAGAUGAUCCAAAUUUACCGAACGGGAAAAUAACCUUCAAGUUUCUUGAGGAGGGAAAUUUUGGGAACGACGCAAGUUCGUUCAGCAUUAACAGUGAGACUGGGUUAAUAACGACGAAAAAGCUAUUAGACCGUGAAACCAAAGACAGCUACACGCUGAUUCUCGUAGCUCAGGAUCUUGGCGAUCCCCCCCAGCAAGCGACUCGUAUUCUUCAAGUGAUUAUAAACGAUAUUGACGACCACAAGCCGCACUUCAAGCGAAGCUUAGACAGUCCGCCAGUGGAGAUCAGCACUUAUGAGGAAGUUCCAAUCGGAACAAAUAUCGGAGUCGUCGAAGCGGUUGACGAAGACAUCGAGGAGAAUGGGAUGAUCGAUUACGUAAUUGUAUACGGAAACGAAGCUGGCCUGUUUUCUAUAGAAAGAUCGGAAAAUAAUUCUGCAAUAAUAAAAUCGACAGGGCGAUUGGAUCGUGAACAAUUUGACCGCCACCUUAUCACCGUGAAGUGCUUCAAGUUUCCAAUAAAAAAAUCUGAGCUCACACCAAAGCCGUACAAUCGGCAAGAUCCUUCUGAGCGGCAAGUCUUGAUAAGGAUAUUGGACAUUGACGAUAACAAACCUAAGUUUAAAAAAGGGAAUUUCACGCUGGGAGUUCGACUGAACGUACCAAUUGACACCAGUCUUUUGACGUUGGAAGCCACGGACGCAGAUUCGGACGCCUUGCCGAUGAACUACAAUAUGGGUGACGUAUCAUUUACUUCAGUUGUCGAUCCAUCGAUAUCGCGAGAGAAAAUGACCUCUAUAUUUUCGCUAAAUCCGGAAACUGGAGAGCUAAGGACAACCAGUUCAAUGACAGGAUUCGCCGACGGUUUUAUGGAAGUUCCGAUAUCGGCGAAUAAUUCCGUGACGCCAGGAAGAGAGACGAACAUCACAGUGAAGAUUUUCCUAGUACGAGACCGAGACAUGCUUAAGUUCGUCUUCUCCAAGCCUCCAGUCGAGGUGAGAAAAUCGUUGGAGAAUUUUGAGCAGGCCGUGCAACAGGCCUUGUCGCUUCCCGUUGAGGUGAACGUCUACGACACACAGUUUUAUUCGAAGGAAGAUAAUUCCUUGGACUUUUCGUCGACUAGUUCGUGCUUCCAAAUGGUUGGAAAGGAGUCCUACGAUCUCAACGAAAUGAAAGCCUUGUUAACAGACCCUAAAAACGAGGAGUUGAAGCGGGUGUAUCAGCAGUACAACGUCGGUACGGUUCAGCACUGCGCUGCUCUCGUUGCAAGGGCCGAUGCCUCUAUGACACAGAUGUGGGUACUUGCCAUCGCUGCUCUGGUCGGGAUUGCCGCGAUUAUUUCCAGCUGUACGCUCUGCUGCAUGCACGCAAACGGUGAAAUCCAGCAAGUAUAUGAGCAAGCAUAGAGAGUGAGAAAGGAGUAUGUGAUCUCUCUUUGUACUCUGUGACCCAUAUAAAGAGAAGAUACACCUCUAUCUACAACUCGUCACUUGAAAUAAUGCCGGAAAAAUUGGAAGAACAUCGUAACGAAAAGAUCCAGUACAAAGUACUUCUACUCUAUAAAGUUCUAUUGACUAUUGGACCGACGAGGAUCUCGAAGCCUUUUCCGAAAUCUUUGAUGUCUGAGUAGUCCACAAAAGGUCACACAUAUCAAUUCGUUUUGCCGGGGGAAUCAAUUGCCCACACUCCAAAAACGCUGCGAGCAACGGAUCAAAAGUUAGAGCCAAAAUACAUGAAACUGGAACAGGGUUAGCGGAAAGGUGGAGAAGAAUAGUUGCAACUUCGAAGCUACCAAGUUUCAGAUGUUUAUUUAAUAUGCCUCGAUUCCAACACAAGUGUGUGUGUGUCACUGUGAAGUGAUUAAACAAGUGACCGAAUGGUAUUAAUGUGAAAGACUAAGGAAAAUAAGAAAGUAUGAUUCAACAUUGGGUUAUGAUAUGAGUUAUUAAAAUAGGUCAGAAAAAUGCGAUAUACAACAUCUUAAGUAGAAUAUGACAAAUUAUGUAUCAGUUGGUCGUUAUCGUCGUAAGUACGUAUAGUUGAGGUGACGACUUGCCUACAAGCGCAACGCAUUUCUGUAAUAGACGAUAUAUUAUGUAUAACAUUGCCUUCUGACUAUUUUAUGUAACCUGAAUUGAUGUAACUGCACGGAUGUGAAUUAAAUCACCUUU